rnacentral:lncRNA from 10 species
CAGGGACUGGGUGACCCCCAGGGCCUUGGCAGAGUGCUCAAGUGAGGGCAGCAGUGGUAGGCGUGGAGUCAGGGAGCCUACACUCAGGGCAAGUGCUCUGUGGCUGUCCUGCUGUGGAGGGCUGGGAGCAGUGGGGUUGCUGUCAGUGGCUUCCACUCCACCACUGGUGGCAGCAGUCAGCAGCAGCUGUGAGCAGGGGAGCCUGUCCUCAGGGAAUAUGCAAAUGUAUGACCAUCCUGGUGCUGGAGGUAUUGGGGUCACUGCCAGUGGCUUAUGCUUUGGUCCCAGUGGCAGUGGCCAGCAGUGGUGGCAGCUGCAGAUGGGGGAUAUCAAUGUGGUUCCAGUGAUGUUGCUAUUCAGGAGCUGUUCUGCCUCAAGACCUGUGCCACAGUGACUAUUUCUAGAGCGCCACCUGAAAACUCUAGAACAGGGAGAAGACAUCGCAAGGGUGCUGACAACCCACUCAGCAGUGAGGAAGUAACAGCUGUGGGAACUUUCAAAAUCAGAGCAAUGUUGAUCACCCUGCAUGUGCAAACCAAAUAUAGUGACUAGUCAAAUCUAAUGACUAGAAUGAAAUUUCUCAUGUGGAAUGGAAAACUUUUGGUCCAUAUCAAUUCUAUAAACUGACAGGCUGAAAUACCCAAUCAGUCUAUAUUCUGAAAUCUACUGAGUCAAAGAAGCAAAUCCUGAAAUAGCAAACCACUAUAAUUAGGUAUAGAUUCACUCCAUAAUAGGACCCUAUAAACAAUGAAAAGAGAUUGUGUAAUUUGGAAGAAAAUGUCAUUCAAUUAUAUAUAAGGGAAGCAAACUGUGUUUGGAUUUAGAAAGCAAGUUAUUUGCCAGGACAUAAGACUAACAAUUUAUUAGGAUAAUUACUGCAUAAUUUAUAUGGCUUGAAGGUUAAGGAUUUUUAAAUAAAGUUAGUUAGCAUAAGAUAUUUCAAUUGCUUAACUUAGUUAUAAUCCCUUCUCUGCCCUCCCACUUAUCUGCUGUGUGAACCUGGGCAAUUAACUUUCCUAUGUUAAGUUGUCACAUCUUAAAAUGAAAUAGUAGCAAUUUACCUCAUAUUUUACUUAUUGACCUAUAUGAUGCCAAGUGCAAGGCUUCUAAGCACACCACAAAUAUUAAUUUCUUUAUUCUUUGUAACAAUUCCCUGAGCUGAGAAACAUUUUUAUCUCCUCUUUAGAGAUGAAGAAACUGGGGCAAAGAGCAGUUUGGUUAUCUCACCCAAGAUCACACAACUAGUAAGGUGUGUAGCAGGGCUUCCUUCCCAGGGUGUCUGGCUCUGAGGUUGAGAUUUAGUCACCUCACUAUGCAUAGUGGACAGAAUACUGUUGUCAUCUUAGCAAACACAGAACAGGAUUGCAAUUGCAAAUGGCUAACUAAAGAAAUAAGAAUGAAAAGAAAUGGAACUUGAACACACCUGUCCCAGGAAGAUGACAUAAUGUGGAGCCUCAUGAUAUCACUCCAAUUUGUACCAUGCAACUUGGGGAAUUAUUUUUGCAGGAACAAAAAGAAGAGCUGUCUUUUGUAAGUUAGAAAGCUUUUGGAAGAGAUUAACACCAGGAGUUAUUAAAGGGCAGGCAAGAGGGAGAGACAUACCAGGGGAGUGGUAUGGGAAGGAGAGAGAGGACUGUGGCUCCUGGAGGUGAAUGGUACCCAUGCUGUGCUUCAUGGUGCAAUCUCAGUCAGGCUGGCUACUUCCUGGGAUAAGAGAGCAAGAAUUUCGGCAGUGAGUUGCCAGCUUUGGCAAGGAUUCCUGAGCCUCACAUGCCAUCUGGAAGGAAAGAACUUCUCAACCUCAAGGGGCCACCAAGACCCAAGACUAUAAAGUCAUCAGGGAUAUUAUGAGAGGGAGAUUAAAGGUACUUCUCCAUCUUCUGGGAAAUUGAAGAGAUGAAAGAAUGGAGAGGUAUGAUGCUGAGAGGCAGAAGGGACUCCAAUAAUGAUUGAGGUGGAAUUUACUGUCUAUUCCCUAUGACAGCCGUCCCCAGCAUUUUUGACACCAGGGACAGGUUUCAUGGAAGGCAAUCUUCCCACAGAUGUGGGAGAGGGGUGGGAAGGAUUCAAGUGCAUUACAUUUAUUGUGCACUUUACUUCUGUUAUGAUUACAUCCUCACCAUAAUGUAGAAUCAGUGGGAGCCCUGAGCUUGUUUUCCUGCAACUAGACGGUCCCAUCUGGGGGUGAUGGGAGGCAGUGACAGAUUAUCAGGCAUUAGAUUUUCAUAAGGAGUAUGCAACCUAGAUCCCUCACAUGCACAGUUCAUAAUAGGGUUCGUACUCCCAUAAGAACCUAAUGCUGCUGCUGAUCUGACAGGAGGCAGGGCUCAGCUUCACUUACCCACUGCUCACCUCCUGCUGUGUGGCCUGCUUCCUAACAGGCCACAGACUGGUACUGGUCUGUGGCUCAGGGGUUGGGGACUCCUGCCCUAUCACGUAGGUUCAGAGUUGAAAUCAAAUUAAAUUAAAGGCAAUAAGGUGGUAUUUCUCACACCUCUGGAUGUAGGGACUAGGAUGCAUACCUGUUACAAAGAUGCUGUGAAAGUUCAAAAGAAGGAUUAGUACCUUCUAUCUGAAAGAGAGGGAUGCAGAUAUUUCAGCUAGGUCUUGAAGGCUGGGGGGUGACCUAUGGCAGAGACAAAGGAGGAUGUUCCAGACAGAAAAACAAGCAGAAGCAAAGGUAGAGGGGAAGAAUAUAUGCAAACUCCUUGGGAGAUGAGGAAUAUUCUAGAUUAUCCAGAGAAGGGGGGAUACAAAAAUAUAGGACCAUGUGAAUACUGAAUGUUUGAUUAUAUUAAUGAAUUGAUGUUUGGGGAGUUUACAGAAUGUACUGUAUUUACAUGUAACAAUUUUAGACAAUAUCUAGAAGUUUCAUACAGAAAUGUUUACAACACAAUGGUGGAAAGUUUGGGGUCUGGGAGAAACCAGUGGAAGUACAGAUGAAAUAAGAUAGACCAUGCUGUGAUCGUAGCUGAAGCAAGAUGAUGGAUUGUAAGGGUAACAUGAUGAAAUCAGGACAAGGCAGCUGCUUCUCACUCUUCUCUCCUUGAAAACAUAAUCCACCCCAAAGAGGCCCAACCUCUUGGUUUUUAUUGCCAAGUUGUAGGCUUUUUGACCCUUGGAACUGUAAGCACCUAUUUAUGAAUUUAACUCAGUAGUCUCCCAGGAGGUAUACAGAAGACAGUCCCAAGGAGCAAACAUUUAUCUCUCAAGAAGAUGAAAAGAGUUUAGCUAUUCUUUCUCCUACUUUACUGUAUAACUUUGUGUGAAAUUCUGUCCAGACUGCAGUCAUUUUUGUGCCGUCUUAUGUACAUAAAUCUGCUAGUGCUUACCCAAUAAUAAAUUGUGCUCUUGCUUUAUUCUGUAUUGGUACAGAGGGGUCAGGGCCAGGAUUGCCUCAUUUCUCCAAAAGAAUAUAUGAGAGUUUAUUAAUAAUAUUUUCUCUAUAUUUGUACAUAUUUGAAAUUCUCUAUAGUAAAACAUUUUUUAAAAUGAUAUUUGAUCAUUUCAGAUACUCCAGCAAGAUAAGAAUCAAGAAAUUGCCAUCAAAUUUGGCAACUAGGAGGGCAAUGGUGACCUUGGAGGAAAGAGGAGAAUGGGAAAAUGAAAGCUUUACUGAAAAGGAGUCAAUGGGAGGAGAUAGAGAAAGCAAUGAGUACAGAUUGCUCCUUUUCAAGACAUUUGGUAGAGAGAAAGAAGGGAGAAGGUGAAGUAGAUGGAAGGAUUCUUUUAGAGUAGGACAAAUCAAUUUGGGAGAAUUCUCAGUGAAAAAUGAGCCUGAAAAAUGGAGAUUAAAGCUGUAGUCUAGAAGAAGAAUAAUUGAUGGGCGAUAUCCCAGAAGAGCUGUGAGAAGAUGAGAUGCAGGACUUUUCUCCCGUCUAUUUUCCAAAAGUAAUCAAAGCAACCUUUUGGUUUUGGUUUUGCCCAGUUUAGAAAUAUUAUCACAAGUAUAAUUCAUAUACAAUGAAUAAAAUUUAGAAAAUACAGAUAAGUAACAUUUUUAAGCAUGGGUAAUCUCAUUUUGCUAAAGGUCUCUCCAGGCCAUCUGCUAUCUGUUUGCUUAUGUAUAUGUUAACAUGUACACAAACAAACACACUAAUGCAAUCAUAUUAUGCAGACAACUCUGCAGUCCAAUUUUUUUCAUGUAAUGAAUUGUGAAAUCCUUCCUAUAUCAAUAAGCACAAUAAUCUUUUUAAAAAAAAAAACUCUAGUUGUUAUCACCUUCCCUGCUUAAUAAAGUAUUUCACUGGCCAAAUACUAUAUUUAGAAAUAAAAAAUCCAAUCUGCAUAAUUUGAUCUACAGCCCUGAGUGAUCUGGCCUCAGCCUCACCUGACAUCACUUUAUGCCUUGAUCAUUUUGUUCCAAACACGCUUUCUUGCAGUUCCUCGAACUCACAAACUUUCUUGAUUCUCUGUUCCUCUGCCCAGAUUGUCCUUUUUGAGACUCUUUGCAUGGCUAAGUCCUGAUCCUCUGGGUCUCUCUUCUCUGUAUAGUCAAAUGAAAGUCCAGUUUCCUGAAUGGUGACCAUGGAUCCUGACUUACCUGGCAUAGUCUGGUUUUCACCUGUUUUUCCAAUAUAAUACUUAAUGAUGCCUCCUUCCACUCUCAAGAGUGCCCCAGUUUGGAUAAUGAAUUACAGAGUUACUCCACUCAUAGCCCCUGGAUCUUUCCCUUCACAGCAGUCAUUGCAAUUUGUAAUUAUGAAAUUGUCUCUUCAUUUACCUAUUUGCUGUGUGUCAUUUAUUAGCCCAUAAUCUCAGUAACAGUGGGAAAAAAAUUGGUAUCCACUACAUAGAUCUAGUCCUUGGGCUUUGACCCUUGCUAAACAUUGGUAAACGUAGGUGGAGCAUUAAAUGGGACAGCCUUGAUAAAUUAGACUGAGGGGAGUUGGGGAAGAGGUGCAGGAGACAGAAGCUGGGCUGAAGUGACCUGAGGAAAGUGAAAAUGUGUAGGAAUUCCACAGAUAGGAGAAGCAAUUGAUUUUUAUAGUCACUGUUAAAAUUUACUUAUCUGUUUCUGGAGAGAAUGUGGAGAAAUAGGAACACUUUUACACUGUUGGGGGGAGUGUAAGUUAGUUCAACCAUUGUGGAAGACAGUGUGGGA